CUGCGAUAAAGUGCAGGAGUCGAGAGUCACUAGUAAGGGAUGAGUUUGAUCAGAAGCAGAGCUCUGGGACGUGUGGACAGACUUUCACUGUAAUGAUGGACAUCCGCUGAUGGACAGAAGUAUAACCCCUGCUGGACAUCGUGCCGGGGCUCGGGGGGGACCCGAAUCAUCCCCGUCCCUUCAUUCACACAACACUCACAUCACGGAGAUCUGGCUGGGAUCAAACCAGCAACCUCUGAACCAUGAGGCAACACGCUAACCUGCGAGCCACAGAUCUCUUGCUUAAACUUGUGAAGGAACUUAUAUUUCACUGUUAACCUGUAUGUGAUUUGACAAGAAACCUGUUAAAGCUUUAGCAGAGUCUCUUUCAAAUCAUCC